GUUGAAACACAAGUUCCCGUUCGAUCAUCGAAGUUAAGCAACGUCGAGCCUGAUCAGUACCUAGAUGGGUGACCGCUUGGGAAUGCCAGGUACAGUA
rnacentral:rRNA from 1 species